rnacentral:lncRNA from 1 species
AUGCCUGGAACAUCGGCGUCGAUGUUUGCUGGGUCCCCAACUGUAUAAGGCGCCAAGCUAACCUCUCCAUGCUUUGUCCAAAUCAAGUAAUCCAUCAUAAAUCCUCGGGAGACUAGAUGAGAAAUGAUUGCUUCGGUAUCUUCAAACAGAACAAUAUUUCUGUAGUCGUAGCAUGGACAAUAUAUGUGCUUCGUCUUUGUUCUCAAAGCAUAGUUGUUAGCGGCAUCAACAAACCAAUGCACCUCGGGUAUAUAUGAUGGAUCUAGUCUUGAUAAGUUACAUCCAUAAGGACCUCUCCAUCAUGAGCUGUGGAAAAAUUAGUAAAUUAAUUGAUCUCAAUGCAAAACAAGUAUGAAAUAUUGUCUAGGAAUAUUUGUUAUCAAAAAUAAAGAACACCUAACAACUAAAUCAAAUUGAAAAAAUAAAACAACUAUCAAAAAUAAAGACAAAACCCUAAGUAAUAAUUCAAAAAAGAACACCUAACAACUAAAGCAAAUGAACAAGGUAGAAAAGCACUUUUGAUGGAAACUAAAUAUAUAUCUUGAUUCACUAAAAUAAAUUUUAGAAGGAAACAUAGAAAUGGUGAGAAGAAGGGCAACAUCUUAAGCAACCUCAUACAUGAAAAAUGAAUAUUGCAUAAUUAAAUCAAAUUUACAUAAAAAAUAACAUCCUAAACAAUAUAAUUUAAAAAACUAAAAAGAAAAUCUAUCUUUCUCUCUCUUCCCAAGCAUGGAAACACCAUUCAUGGAAACCACUACAUAUAUAUUUCUUGGAUUCACUAAUUAGAGAAGGAAACAAGGAAAUGGGGAGAGGAGAGACAUCAUCUAACCAUCUGAAGCAACCUCAUUUGAGCAAAUAUAGUGCAUACCUAGCUAGUCUACUCUCUCCCUCUCAUGGUGAAACCCUAGAUCCAAAAAGUAGCUCAAUUGAGCAAGAGGGCACAAUAAGAGGCAUUAGAGACAUGAACUAACCUUUCUUAGCCCCCUCCUUCCAAGAAAAGAAGAUCAAAACCUCCCUCCUUGUAUUUUGGAAAAUUUAGACCUCUAAGAUGGCCUCCAAAGGAAGGUGGCUGCGAGUAACAGUUC